GUGCCAGCCGCCGCGGUAAUACAGAGGGUGCAAGCGUUAAUCGGAAUUACUGGGCGUAAAGCGCACGCAGGCGGCUGCAUAAGCCGGUCGUGAAAUCCCCGGGCUUAACCUGGGAAUUGCGAUCGGGACUGUGCGGCUAGAGUGUUGGAGAGGACAGCGGAAUUCCCGGUGUAGCAGUGAAAUGCGUAGAUAUCGGGAGGAACAUCAGUGGCGAAGGCGGCUGUCUGGCCAAACACUGACGCUCAGGUGCGAAAGCGUGGGGAGCAAACAGGAUUAGAUACCCCAGUAGUCC
rnacentral:rRNA from 1 species